GAUAAACGCUGGCGGCGUGCAUAACACAUGCAAGUCGAACGAUGAAACUUAAAUGAUUUCUUCGGAAUGAAAUUAAGUGGAUUAGUGGCGAACGGGUGAGUAACACGUGAGUAACCUGCCUUACACAAGGGGAUAGCCUUUGGAAACGAAGAAUAAUACCCUAUAACGUCAAAAUAUCGCAUGAUAUAGUGACCAAAGAUUUAUCGGUGUAAGAUGGACUUGCGUCUGAUUAGCUAGUUGGUGAGAUAAAAGCCCACCAAGGCGACGAUCAGUAGCCGGCUUGAGAGAGUGUACGGCCACAUUGGGACUGAGACACGGCCCAAACUCCUACGGGAGGCAGCAGUGGGGAAUUUUGCACAAUGGGGGAAACCCUGAUGCAGCGACGCCGCGUGAUUUAGAAGGCCUUCGGGUUGUAAAAAUCUUUUUUAUGGGAUGAAAAUGACAGUACCAUAAGAAUAAGGUCCGGCUAAAUACGUGCCAGCAGCCGCGGUAAUACGUAUGGACCGAGCGUUGUCCGGAAUCAUUGGGCGUAAAGGGUACGUAGGCGGCCUAGUAAGUUAGAAGUGAAAUAAUAUAGCUCAACUAUAUAAAGCUUUUAAAACUGUUAGGCUUGAGAGAUGAAAGGGAAAGUGGAAUUCCUAGUGUAGCGGUGAAAUGCGCAGAUAUUAGGAGGAAUACCGGUGGCGAAGGCGACUUUCUGGCCAUUAACUGACGCUGAGGUACGAAAGCGUGGGUAACAAACAGGAUUAGAUACCCUGGUAGUCCACGCUGUAAACGAUGUCGAUUUGGGGAUUGGGCUGUGAGCUUGGUGCCCGUAGCUAACGUGAUAAAUCGACCGCCUGGGGAGUACGGCCGCAAGGUUAAAACUCAAAUGAAUUGACGGGGGCCCGCACAAGCGGUGGAGCAUGUGGUUUAAUUCGAUGCAACGCGAAGAACCUUGCCUACUCUUGACAUCCAUGGAAUCUUGUAGAGAUACGAGAGUGCCUUCGGGAACCAUGAGACAGGUGCUGCAUGGCUGUCGUCAGCUCGUGUUGUGAAAUGUUGGGUUAAGUCCCGCAACGAGCGCAACCCUUAUCCUUUGUUGCCAGCGAUUUGGUCGGGAACUCAAAGGAGACUGCCAGUGAUAAACUGGAGGAAGGUGGGGAUGACGUCAAGUCAUCAUGGCCCUUACGAGUAGGGCUACACACGUGCUACAAUGGCGUAUACAGAGGGAAGCGAGCCUGCGAGGGGGAGCAAAUCUCAGAAAGUACGUCUAAGUCCGGAUUGGAGUCUGCAACUCGACUCCAUGAAGUCGGAAUCGCUAGUAAUCGCGAAUCAGAAUGUCGCGGUGAAUACGUUCCCGGGCCU
rnacentral:rRNA from 1 species